UACGUAGGCAGCAAGCGUUGUUCGGAGUUACUGGGCGUAAAGGGUGCGUAGGCGGCUUUUUAAGUUUGGUGUGAAAUCUCCCGGCUCAACUGGGAGGGUGCGCCGAAUACUGAGAGGCUAGAGUGUGGGAGAGGAAAGUGGAAUUCCUGGUGUAGCGGUGAAAUGCGUAGAUAAUCAGGAGGAACACCGGUGGUGUAAACGGCUUUCUGGACCAUAACUGACGCUGAGGCACGAAAGCGUGGGUAGCAAACAGG
rnacentral:rRNA from 1 species